CAGGCCGAGCCACACCCAGCACCGCCGCCGCCGCCCUCCGCCGCUGGCUGGCGUGAGCAUAGGCUCCGCCUGGCCGGCCGCACUCGUCCGCCGCCGGCCUCCCUGUCGCCGGAGCUCCCUGUUGGCCGGAUCUGGGCCGUCCUCUCCUCGGGUUAGGUGACUAGGGCAUCAAUGCCCGCCGUCGUCGCCGCCUCCCGUCGCCUGAUGACGCGAGCCCCGGCCUCCUCUGACCUGGAGCACCUUCCCCUGGCCGGCCUGCCCGCUGUCCGGCCGCCGCCGGCCACCCCGAGCCCUGCCUAGCUCCGGUAAGCUUGUAUUGCAAUUAUUGUGCACUGUUUGGGGUUGUGUUUACUGUUCCGGCGACCCGAGGCUGUUCCGAUGCCUCCGGAAGUGAGCACGGUGAUCGUCAGUCAGUGCUGAUCACAGUGCUCACGUCAAUUGGGGUCAGCGAGCCCCUGGUUAGCGAGAUAAGCAUGUUUUUCAUGCUGUGCGCGCUGUUCGCAGAUUUUCGCGUCACUCCCGCGCUCUCCGCUGUGGCCGAUAUUGC
rnacentral:lncRNA from 1 species